rnacentral:rRNA from 1 species
AGUUUGUUGGUAGGGUAACGGCCUACCAAGUCAUCGAUGGUUAGCGGGUCUGAGAGGAUGAUCCGCCACACUGGAACUGAGACACGGUCCAGACUCCUACGGGAGGCAGCAGUGGGGAAUUUUGCGCAAUGGGGGAAACCCUGACGCAGCAAUACCGCGUGAGUGAAGAAGGCCUUUGGGUCGUAAAGCUCUUUUCUAAGGGAAGAUAGUGACGGUACCUUAGGAAUAAGCACCGGCUAACUCCGUGCCAGCAGCCGCGGUAAUACGGAGGGUCAAGCGUUGUUCGGAUUUACUGGGCGUAAAGGGCACGUAGGCGGCCUAGCAAGUUAAGGGUGAAAUCCCGGGGCUCAACCCCGGAACUGCUCUUAAAACUGCUAAGCUAGAGAUGGCCAGAGGCGGGUGGAAUUCCAGGUGUAGAGGUGAAAUUCGUAGAUAUCUGGAGGAACACCGGUGGCGAAGGCGGCCCGCUGGGGCCAUUCUGGCGCUGAGGUGCGAAAGCGUGGGGAGCGAACGGGAUUAGAUACCCCGGUAGUCCACGCCGUAACGAUGAACACCAGCUGUUUGGACAAACGACAGUCCAAGUGGCGCAGCUAACGCGAUGAGUGUUCCGCCUGGGGAGUACGGUCGCAAGACUAAAACUCAAAGGAAUUGACGGGGGCCCGCACAAGCGGUGGAGCAUGUGGUUUAAUUCGACGCAACGCGAAGAACCUUACCUGGGUUUGACAUCCUCGGACCGCCAUGGAAACAUGGUUUUCUCUUCGGAGACCGAGUGACAGGUGCUGCAUGGCUGUCGUCAGCUCGUGUCGUGAGAUGUUGGGUUAAGUCCCGCAACGAGCGCAACCCUUGUCCUUAGUUGCCAGCACGUAAUGGUGGGAACUUUAAGGAGACUGCCGGUGUUAAGCCGGAGGAAGGUGGGGAUGACGUCAAGUCCUCAUGGCCUUUAUAUCCAGGGCUACACACGUGCUACAAUGGUGACUACAAAGAGCAGCGAAGCCGCGAGGCUAAGCGAAUCUCAAAAAAGUCAUCUCAGUUCGGAUUGCAGUCUGCAACUCGGCUGCAUGAAGUUGGAAUCGCUAGUAAUCGUAGAUCAGCGCGCUACGGUGAAUACGUUCCCGGGCCUUGUACACACCGCCCGUCACACCAUGGGAGUUGACAUUGGCAGAAUACAUUGAGCUAACCUUCGGGAAGCAGGUGUGCAAGCUAGUGUUGAUGACUGGGGUGAAGUCGGAACAAGGUAGCAGUAGGAGAACCUGCGGCUG